rnacentral:lncRNA from 1 species
CCCCGGCUUAGUAUAUAUCCAGGAUUUUGAUUGGUUAACGCACGUCGUUACAAAACCCAUAGCCCCUGGGUGUUGCUAACCCAUAUCUCCGGACGUUGCUAACCAUUAUUCCGGGGAACUUCACGCAAGUUUUGCUUAGUUCCAUGAUUGCUCCUUGUGAAAUAUUGAAUUCUGUAGAUUAUCCAUAAUGUUUGUAAUUAAAUAUUUGAUUCAUUAACGAUUUUGUCCUAUUACUAGUAUGCCGAUUAUUUACAUUCAUUUCAUUAAAUGCAUCACUUGACUGCAACAUAUUCAAGGAAUGGGACUACUGACCUAGCUAUGCAAAUGACCCACGUUGACGUCACACCAUCUAUGGCGUAACGCUCACAACAUUGAGCGCCAAAUUUGACUCUAUCCAGUUUCUCUGUCUCCGUAUUAAAAACGACUUAUAUUUGACUACCUGUAGGGUUCUACCAAAGGUAGUACCCUACACCCCGUAAAAAAUAUGUAAAAUUUCCAAAUUUCAAUAAAACUUUUUUAGAUAAUGAAAAAAACGUUGUUUUCGCGUUACAGUUUGUACCCGAAUUUCCAUAAAACUCGCCCGAUUCGGACUAAGACCGGGGAUAAAUUCGUUAUCUACGUUCAUAUCCGUAGAUAUGGAUAUUUUAACACCCUUCAGUACCCUGUACACCCUUCGGCUACGCCUCAGGGUGUACUGGGGUACUUCAUGGUGUUAAAAUAUCCAUAUCUACGGAUAUGAACGUAGAUAACUUAUAAUAUUC